rnacentral:rRNA from 1 species
UACGUAGGGGCGAGCGUUAUCCGGAAUUAUUGGGCGUAAAGAGUACGUAGGUGGUUUGGAAAGCGUGUGGUGAAAUUGCGGGGCUUAACCCCGUCCAGCCAUGCGAACUUUCAGACUUGAGUGCAGGAGAGGGAAGUGGAAUUCCUAGUGUAGCGGUGAAAUGCGUAGAUAUUAGGAGGAACAUCAGUGGCGAAGGCGACUUCCUGGACUGUAACUGACACUGAGGUACGAAAGCGUGGGUAGCAAACAGGAUUAGAUACCCGCGUAGUCCCUGAGCGGG